rnacentral:tRNA from 1 species
GCCGGUGCCGGACCGGCGAUUGUCUGCUGUGGGCAGACGACCUGCGCCGGGGGGUUCGGAAACCCCGGCGACGGUACC